ensembl:lncRNA
CGGAGGUGUAGAUUACAUCUCACAUUCCAGUGUUCCUAAUGGAGGUGUAGAUUACAUCUCACAUUCCAGUGUUCCUAAUGGAGGUGUAGAUUACAUCACACAUUACAGUGUUCCUAAUGGAGGUGUAGAUUACAUCUCACAUUCCAGUGUUCCUAAUAGAGGUGUAGAUUACAUCACACAUUCCAGUGUUCCUAAUGGAGGUGUAGAUUACAUCUCACAUUCCAGUGUUCCUAAUAGAGGUAUAGAUUACAUCUCACAUUCCAGUGUUCCUAAUAUAGGUGUAGAUUACAUCUCACAUUCCAGUGUUCCAACUUGUAAACCAGGCUGCUGUAGUCAAUGAAUGCUAUUCAUUGACUACAGCUCAGCAUUCAACACCAUGGUGCCCUCGAAGCUCAUCAAUAAGCUAAGGACCCUGGGACUAAAC